UAACCACUUGUACUCAGCCUCUUCAGUCGCCACUACAACCACCGUGACCGCGAGAAAUAUUAAUACCGCAUGAGUUGACCUUUCUUCGGUUUACACUGCGGCAGCGGCUCCGAUCAAUUCUUUUAUCACCGCUGAGGACUAAAUCAGGGCUCAAGAGAGAGAAAGAGAGAGAGCAUAAUCUCUAAACGGUAACACUUUUGAAAUCCCAGUCUACUUUUUUUGAUUUUUUGUUUUCCUGAACAUUGGGAGCUACUAAAGGAAAGUAUUUAUCGAUGUGGGUAGUGGAAAAGGAAGUAUUGGAACAGGAUGGUUUGUUAACAAUUACCCAACAAGGAAUCUGAAGUUUGGGAUGUACAAGAUUGAAACGGUGAACGGUGAGAUUAGCCUCGAACCUGAAAAUAUGGGGAUGAAGGAGUGGCUGAAAGAGAAUGUAAAGGGGAGGAAUAUGUGGUGAUGAAGGCAGAGGUUGAGGUGUUGGAGGAGAUGAUGAGGAGCAAGACGAUAAAAUGGUGGAUAAGCUUUUCUUGGAAUGCAAGCCACGGGUACUAGGGCAGGGAAGGAACAUGGAGACAGCGUGAGAGAGAAUAUCUAUCAAACCAUGCGUUUUUGUUUUUACAUUAUCUGCUUUUUUCUUCUGUUUUGUUGUCAGAAUUUUUUUAAUCAUCUUAUGAUCAUUCUGUAUUGUUGUGUGUUUUUAGUAUGUUGUGGUGUUGCUGAAGAUUGUUUUAUUUUCUCCUAGAACAAAUGAAUUCCAUAAA